CAGUAGCCACGGUAAUACGAAGGGUGCAAGCGUUAAUCGGAAUUACUGGGCGUAAAGCGUGCGUAGGCGGUGAGCUAAGUCCGUUGUGAAAGCCCUGGGCUCAACCUGGGAAUUGCAGUGGAUACUGGGUCACUAGAGUGUGGUAGAGGAUAGUGGAAUUUCCGGUGUAGCAGUGAAAUGCGUAGAGAUCGGAAGGAACAUCUGUGGCGAAGGCGACUAUCUGGGCCAACACUGACACUGAGGCACGAAAGCGCGGGGAGCAAACAGGAUUAGAUACCCCUGUAGUCCCUGUCUCUUAUAC
rnacentral:rRNA from 1 species